ACAAGUUCCGAUGUCUCUGGGAGA
rnacentral:piRNA from 1 species